GCAGGGCACGUGCAUUACUAG
rnacentral:siRNA from 1 species